UUUAAUAGCAAUGUAUAUUAUUUUUAUCCCUUAACAUAAAUUUUUUUGGGUCUGUAACUGGUCAUUUGCAUCUUCUCUCUGGCGUCUGGUCGGCGUCGUCCAUCAAUCAACAGUCUGUCGGUGUCGUCUUUAAAGGUUCGAGAAAUCGGAGAAGGAGAAGAAGGAUCUCAUGGCUCGCAAGGUGGACCACGAGUACGAUUACCUCUUCAAGAUCGUCUUUAUCGAUGACUCUGGCAUUGGCAAAUCCAACAUUUUCUCGAAGUUCACGCGCAACUAGUUUUUUUGGAGUCCAAAUCUACCAGUGGCGUUGAAUUCGCCACUAGAACUCUUCAGCAAGAUAACUUUCUCUUUUCUGCAUUUUUUUGCUGCUUCUACCUAUUUGUGUUAUGUGAAAUUCUAAAUGCAUUUGCAUGCCGUUGUUUGUUUCUUGAUCCUUUGUUUUCUUAUGAUUAUGAAUCCCUUUUUAUUUAAUCUUGCCAUUUUUGCUUCUGAUUGGAUUUCUGUGUGGUAUUUUGCAUUUGUAGCAUUGGAGUAUGAUAAUUUAUUUUAAUGUUUUUGCUCCG